rnacentral:rRNA from 1 species
GAUGAACGCUGGCGGCGUGCCUAAUACAUGCAAGUCGAGCGAACAGACGAGGUGCUUGUUCCUCUGACGUUAGCGGCGGACGGGUGAGUAACACGUGGAUAACCUACCUAUAAGCCUGGGAUAACUUCGGGAAACCGGAGCUAAUACCGGAUAAUAUCUUUAACCACAUGGUUCAAUAGUGAAAGACGGCUUUGCUGUCACUUAUAGAUGUAUCCGCUUCGCUUUAGCUAGUUGUUAAGGUAACGGCAUCCCAGGGUGACGAUGCUAAGCCGACCUGAGAGGGUGAUGGGCCACGCUGGAACGGAAAAAAGGCCAAGACUCCUACGGGAGGAGGCGGAGGGGAAUCUUCGGCAAUGGGCGAAGGCCUGACGGGGCAACGCCGCGUGGGGAAUGAAGGGCUUCGGAUCGUAAAACUCUGUUAUAAGGGAAGAACAAAGGUGUAGGGAAAAGUGCACGUAUUGACGGUACCUAAUCAGAAAGCCACGGCUAACUACGUG